rnacentral:rRNA from 1 species
UAGCUAAAUGCGGAAGAGAUAAGUGCUGAAAGCAUCUAAGCACGAAACUUGCCCCGAGAUGAGUUCUCCCUGACCCUUUAAGGGUCCUGAAGGAACGUUGAAGACGACGACGUUGAUAGGCCGGGUGUGUAAGCGCAGCGAUGCGUUGAGCUAACCGGUACUAAUGAACCGUGAGGCUUAACCUU